rnacentral:rRNA from 1 species
UUNUGAACUGGGUGACUAGAGUGUGUCAGAGGGAGGUAGAAUUCCACGUGUAGCAGUGAAAUGCGUAGAGAUGUGGAGGAAUACCGAUGGCGAAGGCAGCCUCCUGGGAUAACACUGACGUUCAUGCCCGAAAGCGUGGGUAGCAAACAGGAUUAGAUACCCUGGUAGUNCACGCCCUAAACGAUGUCGAUUAGCUGUUGGGCAGCAUGACUGCUUAGUAGCGAAGCUAACGCGUGAAAUCGACCGCCUGGGGAGUACGGUCGCAAGAUUAAAACUCAAAGGAAUUGACGGGGACCCGCACAAGCGGUGGAUGAUGUGGAUUAAUUCGAUGCAACGCGAAGAACCUUACCUGGUCUUGACAUGUACGGAACCCUCCAGAGACGGAGGGGUGCCUUCGGGAGCCGUAACACAGGUGCUGCAUGGCUGUCGUCAGCUCGUGUCGUGAGAUGUUGGGUUAAGUCCCGCAACGAGCGCAACCCUUGUCAUUAGUUGCCAUCAUUAAGUUGGGCACUCUAAUGAGACUGCCGGUGACAAGCCGGAGGAAGGUGGGGAUGACGUCAAGUCCUCAUGGCCCUUAUGACCAGGGCUUCACACGUCAUACAAUGGUCGGUACAGAGGGUAGCCAAGCCGCGAGGUGGAGCCAAUCUCACAAAACCGAUCGUAGUCCGGAUUGCACUCUGCAACUCGAGUGCAUGAAGUCGGAAUCGCUAGUAAUCGCAGGUCAGCAUACUGCGGUGAAUACGUUCCCGGGUCUUGUACACACCGCCCGUCACACCAUGGGAGUGGGGGAUACCAGAAGU